GGCUCCAUAAUGUAGUGGUUAGCACAUCUGCUUUACAUGCAGAAGGUUUUAGGUUCGCGCCACAGGUGGAGCCA
rnacentral:tRNA from 1 species